AUGGAUUCAUGCAGGACUUUUUCAGAAAGAAACAAAAGAAGAGUUGGAACAGCUCACAGUGGAAAUCAAGAAGGAUGCCAACUUUGUCCGGUCCAGCCUCAAAGUGAGUUCUGCUUCGGCCUGUCAAGGAUAGUGGAGAUUGAGUUCUCAUCUAUUUUCUUCUUAGCAAUGCAACAGUAUCUACCUCCAGAUGAACAGAUGAAUCAAGCCUCAGUGGAUGCACGCAUUCAGAAAACACAGGUAUAAAAUCAUUGUCUCUUCUUAUUCAUCCAACCAUCCAGUAUGGUAAUUUUUAAUCCCAAAUUGAUCUAAUGUCCUAUUGUCUGUCUCUUUGUCUCUUUUUUUAGUACACUAACUUGUCAUGUAAGUUUGUAGAGGUCAUGACGCGAUAUAAUGAAACCCAAGUGUCAUUCAGAGAGAAAAGCAAAAGCAGGAUUCAGAGACAGUUGUUGAUCAGUAAGUCACACACGAGUAACUUCAUGCAUGCACAAGCACUCACGUACAUACUAUUCCCUUUAAACUAGCCCACUAAAGUAGACCAUUUACAGCUGACAAAAUCUCCACCCAAACAUAAAAGCAGCUGUCAGUUAAUGGAAGAUUUGACAUAUGACCUCGCGGUUCAAAUGGACUCUUUGUCAGAAAGUGAUAAGACUUUCAGUUUUAUGGAAGUCGCCAUCUUUGGCACGCAAGAGCUUGAAGAACCACCUGUUUGUUUUAAAUCAGCACUGUGGGAAUGUUUCCCGCAUUAAAACAUAACAUAAAUUUUAACUCAGGUGUCUAAAGUCAGACCAUUCUGUUUCUGCUUUAUCUGACAAACACACACACACACACACAAACACACACAUAUAUAUACACAGGUGCUGGUCAUAUAAUUAGAAUAGCAUCAAAAAGUUAAAGCUGCGGUAGGGAACUUUUGACGCUCUAGCAGUUAAUAAACAGAACUGCUUGCGUCUUGCGGAAGAACAUCGUAGCCGGAACUACUUCUCUCUGUUUAUGUCUAUGAAGAAUCACAAAGGUACUGGGUUACUCCGCCGCGGUAUCCCCGAAGCAAUCUAAAAUAGUCAGAAUAUAAACACUUAUUAUAGGUGCACCCUUAGUGAUUCAGGACAAGCUAAAAACACGGUUUGGAAAAUGGAUUCAUGGUGUACUCACCUUAUUAUGUUCAUUUUUCUACAUUUUGAACACAAACAAAGUUACGGACCGCAGCUCUUAUUGGUUGUUUUUUACCGGGAGUGCAUGACUUUCUGCAAAUGGCAAUAGGAGCACUGGGAGGAGCCAGAGGAGCUUGAUUUUUUUCACAGAUUAUCUGUCUCAUAUUCUACUGUCAGGACAUAAUGACAGGUUUAACAAAUAUGUAAAUAAUAUAUUUUUUACAAAAGUUCCCUACAGCACCUUUAAUUAAUUUCACUAAUUCUAAUCAGAAAGUGAAACCUGUAUAUUAAAUUAAUUCAUUACACACAGACUGAUAUAUUUUAAAUGUUUAUUUAUUUUAAUUUUGAUGUUUGUAACUGACAACUAAGGAAAAGUCCCAAGUUCAGUAUUUCAGAAAAUUAGAAUAUUGUGAAAAGGUUCAAUAUUGAAGACAUCUGGUACCACACUCUAAUCAGCUGAUUAACUCAAAACACCUGCACAGCCUUUAAAUAGUCUCUCAGUCUAGUUCUGUAGGCUACACAAUCAUGGGGAAGACUGCUGACUUGACAGUUGUCCAACAGACGACCACUGACACCUUGCACAUGGUGUCAAUUUUUUUCACACUUUUUUGUUAUGUUUAUAAUUCCAUAUAUAAUUCCACAUGUGUUAAUUCAUAGUUUUGAUGCCUUCAGUGUGAAUCUACAAUUUUCACAGUCAUGAAAAUAAAGAAAACUCUUUAUUUGAAGUUGUGUCCAAACUUUUGGUCUGUACUAUAUAUAAAUAUAUAUAUAUAUAUAUAUAUAUAUAUAUAUAUAUAUAUAUAUAUAUAUAUAUAUAUAUAUAUAUAUAUA
rnacentral:lncRNA from 1 species